ensembl:lncRNA
AGGAGGAGAAGGGGAGGGAGAAGAAAUGAAAUCGGCAAAGGAAGAUCUUACCUGGAGGUUUGGUAAGGAAGCCUGGGAGGUUGAAGCGGGGCCGAUCCCGUCUGUCCUCGGAUGAAUGGGGGCUUGGGUGAAGUGAAGGUGCCUCGAAUUUGAAAUCAUUCCAAGUUUUUGAAGGGAAGCCGGACUGCAGCCUCUGCCAUGUUGGAAUUUCAAACCCAAAACAGCUGCUUUGCAAACGAGCCAGCAUGCCAGCCGCUGAACGCCUGCGCAGAGCGCCGCCGAGCCAAAUUUAAAUCACUUUCACACUAAGAGCCAAAGAUCAGUUUUCAACCAAAAAGAAGAAGAAGAAGAAGAAGAAGGAGAGGAGGAGAGGAAGGAGGGAGGGGGGCCGGCUGGUUGGUUGGCUGGUGUUGGGGUGGGAGAAGAGAGGAGCUGCUCGACUCGAGAGGAAGAUCAUCCGCCGCCGACGCGCGCGCCACAUUCACGGGCAAGCCGGCGAGCGAGAGAGGAACUCAAUGGCCGCGCGCGCUUGCUAGUUGCUACCGCCGCAGCCCCCGCCGCCGCCGCCGCCAGCACCGCCGCCGCCGCGCCACCACCACCAGGCCCCUGGCUACCCAGGUCAGGUUACAGAGCAGGGGCCGCCGCCGCUUGCAAGGAGCCACGCUAACGCUGCUGCUGCUGCUGCCUGGAGCUGGAGGUGGCCGCGAGGUCAUGAUAGAGCAGCCGCCAAGCUCCGCCGCCCCUUCUGCGGCCGCCGGGGGGAAGAAGAAGUAGGGAACUUGGGGAGUUGCUGCGAUCCCCGCCACGCCGCCCGAGCUCCUCCUCGCCGCCUCUGCCUCCCGCAGCAGCCGCAGAAAGAGUUCGCCGAGCCGCGCGGGCACUUUCCCCCCGGCAGCCCGGGGAGCCCCAUAUUCCCGAUCCCGGCCGGUCGGCCGCGGUCCGCGCGCCCCCCUCCUGCCCGCCCCCCCCGGCAAAAGCAGCGCCGGCAGUGCUCGGCGUCUCAGGCUUCCUGUCCCCCCCCCCCCCCCCCCCCCCCCUCCCCCUUUUUUGAGAGAAGCAGCAGCGGUAGCAAUCGCCGCGGCGGCAGUGGCGCCACCGGCAGCUCUCCUCCUGCUCCGACCCGUAGCAGCGCGGCGGCGGCGGCCGUCAAUGGCUCUGCCUGUGUCCGGUGCAGCCCGCUCGCCGUAGAGACUCAUUGGGUAGCCUGUGGGACGCCGUAUGGGGCGAACUGCUCCCGAGAAGCCCGAGCCCGGAGGGGGCUGCAGGCCGAGAGCGCCCGCGCAUUUACUUGGGAGUCAAAAAGUGACACCGCGCGCGUCCCAUUGUGCUUCCUCCCCAUCCAGGCAGGUGCAGCUAGAUUUGCAUUCACAAAGCUAGGGGAAAAAAUGAAGUCUUGGGGCAUUUUGCACAACAGCAAAUUACAGUCAGUAUCUCUUUUGGUGGUAAAAGAGGUACUGUUUUACUGUGUGCCAGGCAGAAGAUGUGAAUUUGUGAAUCACGUUUAAAUAAUGAAAGUUCAUAGAUAAUAAAGGUUUCACCUGCUCCGAUGUGCA